GGUUAUGGCUCAGAGGUAGAGUGCUUGCCUAGCAUGUAAGGGGCCCUAGGUUUGAUCCUCAGCACCA
rnacentral:tRNA from 1 species